rnacentral:rRNA from 1 species
UAUCUCUGUAGAGUCUGCAUAUCAAUAAGCGGAGGAAAAGAAACUAACAAGGAUUCCCUUAGUAACGGCGAGUGAAGCGGGAAGAGCUCAAAUUUGAAAUCUUCAAGGUUCUACCUUGACGAAUUGUAGUUUAAAGAAGUGUUUUCUGUUAGAUGAGUAGCAAAAGUUCCUUGGAAUGGGACAUCAUAGAGGGUGAGAAUCCCGUAUUUGGUUAUUCAUUCUAGCUUUGUGAUACACUUUCAAAGAGUCGGAUUGUUUGGGAAUGCAGUCCAAAAUGGGUGGUAAAUUUCAUCUAAAGCUAAAUAUUGGCGAGAGACCGAUAGCGAACAAGUACCGUGAGGGAAAGAUGAAAAGAACUUUGAAAAGAGAGUUAAACAGUACGUGAAAUUGUCAAAAGGGAAGCGUUUGACACCAGUGUUGUUUUUCCGAAAAUCAAUUACGAAUGGCUUGAUUUUGUGUUGUAUUGACCUUAUCAGCUUUCUUCACUUUUUUCGAGUCUUUCUUAAUGCACUUUUUGGUUAACAAGUCAACAUCAAUUUCUUUUGUUGUAAAAGAGUAUUCGGAAGGUGGCUUUCUUUUCGGAGAAAGUGUUUAUAGCCCUAUACUUCUACAAUCGGAGAGAUUGAGGUCUGCAGCGUAGAUCCUUCGGGGUUAGAUACACUUGUGCUAAGUUGUAGCUUUUCAUAGACAACUUGUUGACUAUGUUUAGUCAUGCGGCUUACUCGCUUAUGCUAUUUUACCUACGCUUAGGAUGUUGACUGAUAUGUAGUCGUA